rnacentral:misc_RNA from 1 species
GAAAUGCGAUAAGUAGUGUGAAUUGCAGAAUUCAGUGAAUCAUCGAAUCUUUGAACGCACAUUGCGCCCCUUGGUAUUCCAUGGGGCAUGCCUGUUCGAGCGUCAUUUGUACCCUCAAGCUCUGUUUGGUGUUGGGUGUUUGUCCCGUCUCCGCGCGUGGACUCGCCCCAAAGUGAUUGGCAGCCGGCGUACUGGUCCCGGAGCGCAGCACAUGUCGCGCAAACGAGUGCCUUGGUACGGCGGCGUCCAUAAGCCCCUCUCUCACGCUCUUGACCUCGGAUCAGGUAGGGAUACCCGCUGAACUUAAGC